rnacentral:misc_RNA from 1 species
GAUGAAGAACGUAGCGAAAUGCGAUAAGUAGUGUGAAUUGCAGAAUUCCGUGAAUCAUCGAAUAUUUGAACGCACAUUGCGCCUUCUGGUAUUCCGGAAGGCAUGCCUGUUCGAGAGUCAUUAACAACCGUUUCGCUCCCUUUCUUUCAGAAAUUACAAAGAGGAAAAGGGUUUGGUUAUGGUGGAGGAGGGAAAGGGAGCGUUUAGCCUGUAAAAAAAGAGGCUGUGUUCCGCCUCCCCCCCAAAAUUGUACAGGCGGUCGUGUGCGCCCACGCAUCGAGGUGUUGUAAAAGCUGCCACGGCACUUUUCACCUGUCCAGUGCGAGAUUGGCCAGCCGGUUUAAAAACCCCUCCAAACAAUCAAAGGUUGACCUCGGAUCAGGUAGGGAUACCCGCUGAACUUAAGCAUAUCAAUAAGCGGAGGA